GAGAGAAGACGGAUAGUGCUUUGUUAGUGGUGUCUGCAGGGCUGCACGAGGAGCCUUGAACAUGGUGGCAUUGGUUAUUUGGGUAAUACUCUUGAAAACUCACUGGGAAACAAAGAUGAGGGAAGUAAUCAAGAAAUGAUCCAAUCUGCUGAGCGUCGGGGUAUAUCAUGUGUUCUAUCCUUCAUUCCACCGGAGUCUGUAUCCAUGGUAACCAGAUUUCAGUGGUGUGAAGAGUAAGAGGCAUGGGGUUGAACGUCCAAAACCGACCAACAAGCCAGGAAGUCUUCUUGAGAUAAUGGCACCAGAAUGACUUUCCAUGAUUGCCAAACUAUUUUCACAUUUAAUAAUAAAGGUUUAUGGGAAUUGUUGCAUAUGGUUACUUUACUUAAAUGUAUUAUUAGAAUGUGUGUGUGAAUUGUUAUCCUUGAGAUGUUCUGUCUGGUUGUGUACUACGAAUACUACCUAAAUAAAGACAUGUCCU